UGGGGAAUUUUGGACAAUGGGCGAAAGCCUGAUCCAGCAAUGCCGCGUGUGUGAAGAAGGCCUUCGGGUUGUAAAGCACUUUUGUCCGGAAAGAAAUCCUUGGCUCUAAUACAGUCGGGGGAUGACGGUACCGGAAGAAUAAGCACCGGCUAACUACGUGCCAGCAGCCGCGGUAAUACGUAGGGUGCAAGCGUUAAUCGGAAUUACUGGGCGUAAAGCGUGCGCAGGCGGUUUGCUAAGACCGAUGUGAAAUCCCCGGGCUCAACCUGGGAACUGCAUUGGUGACUGGCAGGCUAGAGUAUGGCAGAGGGGGGUAGAAUUCCACGUGUAGCAGUGAAAUGCGUAGAGAUGUGGAGGAAUACCGAUGGCGAAGGCAGCCCCCUGGGCCAAAUACUGACGCUCAUGCACGAAAGCGUGGGGGAGCAAACAGGAUUAGAUACCCUGGUAGUCCACGCCCUAAACGAUGUCAACUAGUUGUUGGGGAUUCAUUUCCUUAGUAACGUAGCUAACGCGUGAAGUUGACCGCCUGGGGAGUACGGUCGCAAGAUUAAAACUUAAAGGAAUUGACGGGG
rnacentral:rRNA from 1 species